UACGUGAGGGCGCAAGCGUUGUCCGGAAUUAUUGGGCGUAAGAGCUACGUAGGCGGUCUGUCGCGUCUGGUGUGAAAGUCCCAUGGCUCAACUGUGGGCUUGCAUCGGGUACGGGCAGACUAGAGUGCUGUAGGGGAGACUGGAAUUCCUGGUGUAGCGGUGGAAUGCGCAGAUAUCAGGAAGAACACCGGUGGCGAAGGCGGCUCUCUGGGGCCUUACCUGACGCCUGAGGAGCGAAAGCGUGGGUAGCGAAACAGG
rnacentral:rRNA from 1 species